ensembl:snoRNA LOC120097273 small nucleolar RNA SNORA26
GUGCCCUUUCUGGGAUGACACUGUCCUGUAAGAGGCUAGCACAGAAGGGUAGAGGAAAUCUCUAGAGACUCAGAAAAGGGACUGCAAACCUCCUCUUGGCUCCUUCUGAAGCCACAGCU